ensembl:misc_RNA 7SK 7SK RNA
GGAUGUGAGGGCAAUCUGGCUGUGAUAUCUGUCACCCCAUUGAUAGCCAGGGUUGAUUCAGCUGAUCUUGCUUGCUAGGCAGGUGUCCCCUUUCUCCCUCACUGCUCCAACUCAUCCCUCCCAAAGCUGCAGGUUUGGUUGAAGAGGACGUCCUUCCCCGAACAGAGAUGGACAGGUGUUCGGUCAAGGGUAUACAAGUAGCUGCGCUCCCCUGCUAGAGCCUCAAAACAAGUGCUCAUACUUAGCACAGGAGCCUAUGUAUCCUUUGCAUGAGCUCACAGUAUGAGCUCACAGUCCAUGGUCACAGCUAGGAACAUUCU